UGCAGUCGAACGGAAUCAAGAGGAGCUUGCUUUUCUUGAUUUAGUGGCGAACGGGUGAGUAACGCGAUGAGUAACCUGCCCUGGAGUGGGGGACAACAGUUGGAAACGACUGCUAAUACCGCAUAAGCCCACGGUACCGCAUGGUACUGAGGAAAAAGGAUUUAUUCGCUCUAGGAUGGACUCGCGUCCAAUUAGCUAGUUGGUGAGGUAACGGCCCACCAAGGCGACGAUUGGUAGCCGGACUGAGAGGUUGAACGGCCACAUUGGGACUGAGACACGGCCCAGACUCCUACGGGAGGCAGCAGUGGGGGAUAUUGCACAAUGGGGGAAACCCUGAUGCAGCGACGCCGCGUGGAGGAAGAAGGUUUUCGGAUUGUAAACUCCUGUCGUUAGGGACGAUAAUGACGGUACCUAACAAGAAAGCACCGGCUAACUACGUGCCAGCAGCCGCGGUAAAACGUAGGGUGCAAGCGUUGUCCGGAAUUACUGGGUGUAAAGGGAGCGCAGGCGGACCGGCAAGUUGGAAGUGAAAUCCAUGGGCUCAACCCGUGAAUUGCUUUCAAAACUGCUGGCCUUGAGUAGUGCAGAGGUAGGUGGAAUUCCCGGUGUAGCGGUGGAAUGCGUAGAUAUCGGGAGGAACACCAGUGGCGAAGGCGACCUACUGGGCACCAACUGACGCUGAGGCUCGAAAGCAUGGGUAGCAAACAGGAUUAGAUACCCUGGUAGUCCAUGCCGUAAACGAUGAUUACUAGGUGUUGGAGGAUUGACCCCUUCA
rnacentral:rRNA from 1 species